CCUCAGGCCAACGUGGUCUCGAAGGCUUAGCCGUGCGUGGAGGGCGGCAGCGCCCCUGAGGAUGAGGUCCAAAUAUCGCCAUUAGCAGACAGCCGAUAUUCCAGGCAGGUGCACAGCUGGCAGCUGCGGGUGCCCACAGCUCUCACUGGUAGCCCCAGGCACACGCAGGAUUUCCGAGAAGGCAAUGUAAAGGAUAUCCACCCUCAAUCAUUGCUUUUGUCCCCUGCAGAGGGGGGUGAGGAGGCUGCCAAGAACUGUUUCAGAAUGGAUGAAGGCCCUUCACCAAAGGUCUGAAGACUGUGGUGGUGAGCAGGCAUGGGCACAUUAACUAUCCAACAUCUUUUGUCUCCAAAUAUAUUCCAAGUUUUCCCUCUUCAUGAGAGACCGUUCUUGUCUUGCUCAGCCCAGUAGUCACUAAUGUACUCACAGCCACACUACAGUUCCUGCCUGGCAACAGCUCAGCUCUCAGGAAUCUACAUGGGAGGAGUAGGGGAGAAUAAAUUGCCAUCAAGCUGCUCAAAAUAACAAAACAGUGUAUGUGAAUUCUACUGUUUCAACUGUUAAGUGCUAACAAACAAACUUCAGUGCUGUUAGGGCUCCUCAGGACAUCUGAGAUAAAGAAAUCAAAGGAGGAAUUUGCUGGCCAGGUCACUAACAAGUCUGCAAACCCAAGCUGCUUAGGAGGAGGUGAAACGAACAGCCAAAUGAAGUGCACCACAGGCAACACACUGAGGGGAUUUUGAGAACUAAGGUCAUCAUACAACCGUCAAGUGCUGAACAUCUUCAAUCCACCAACAGGAGCCAUUCGUUGUUACAACCAGAAAGGCUUUAGUGCUAUUCCUAACAUGUAUGUGUCCUCCUCCUGCCCAGCUACAAAAUCAGCUGAGUUUGCAAAUACACUGGUUCUGGUUGACGGUACAGAACAGAGACCUAUUGGUCAUGGGGAUCUGGGUGUCUGCCCAUGGGGAAUUUCUUAUGAUAAAGACUAUGAGAACAGAGAAGUCAAAUCCCAAUCUUGCUGAAAAACAAGUGGACUGCAAGCAGGUAAUCACAGGCACAAUCCCAGUUCUGAUGCUUCUGGAGUAGGAAUACAGUGCUUCUUACCUGAAUUAUAUUCUCUUGACCUCAGAAUUCAUGUUCUUGAUAUCAGCCCUCAGGAAAACAAGCUGAACUUCAUCUGGCUGAGAUCUCCAGCUCCUCUUGCUGUCAGGAUGCCCUCUGUUGCUCAGACUACAGGCAGAGCUGCAGUGUCAGAAGAGCUGAAUUCUGCUUUCUUCAGUAGUUUUGCAACAUGGAGCACACUGUUUAGCAGAGCCCGAUUUUGUGGGGUGCUCUCUGUUUAUUAUGCCCCUCUGUUUAUUUGGAAAGAAAGUGUCUCAUGUUUGUUUCAACUAAUUGUGAUUGACUUUCUGUUUUAGCUCAGCUGUGCUUAGUCAAGGUAGAAAAACCCAAACAUCCACAAAUAAAAGGCAAUGUUGUGUCAUACCUGCAAGCUAUUUAUUAUAACAGCAUAUUCGUAAAGACCCCACGCGUUUUAAGGCUACUCUCUGCAAACUCAAUCAUAAAGAAGAGAACACACCGAAGUGAAAAACAGUCUAAAACAGCAUUUCACAGGAACAUAAUUUAGUCAUACGUGUCUUGUACUUCACUGCUAAUCUCCCUCAUACACAGCGGAUCUCUACAACAGAACGUGCUCUAUGAAAAGCAGAUGGGUUAACAGAUCAUUUGCAUCAAUCUAAAAGAAAACCUUCCUACUCAACAUAUGCUUAGUUCCCACAGAUUAAAGGUUUGGGGAUUUUCAUCCUCCUUGAGCUCGAUUCACAAGAACAUGGGAAGGACUCUUCAGGUGCAGCUCCCUGAAAACCGACACGGCUCACAUUUCAGUAUAAGGUGCUCACCAAGAGAAGAAAAGGAGGGCAGGCAUUCCUUACUAGGGAAUUAUUUCUUAUAACAAUGAGAGCAACACAGCUGGAAAGUGGACUGCUCUGGGCUUCUGCAAUGGCUCUAGCCCCUGUUAAGGGCCCAGUCCCCUUCACUGAAACACAGCUGUGAUGAAGCUACUCGGAAUCUAACCAGGAGGGAACUAUGCUAAGCCAGGACUUGCCUUUUCUGACCUGGUUUAGUCAGAGGAUGCUUUUCCUGACCCACCAAUUCUGUCUGCAUGGAAAUUGCAUCCAAGAGUGAAAGCAGGUGAGACUUAGAAUAAUUCACUCAAGCUCCUCAGGAACUUGAAAUUGGUUCCUAAGCAAAAAAGGUUUAAAUACUUUUCAAGAACAACUUAAGAGGCAAGACAAACAAGUAAAACAGAAAUCUGCAGGCAUGAUCAAAAACAUCGCUGCUCUACGACAUGCAACAGCUAGCUAAGAUUGAUCUGCUAAAUAUUACUUGCCUAUCUUGUUAGCUUCAUUGAAGUGACACACAGUAAGGCAUCAACAGUUUUGUAUUUUGAUCAACAAAGACAAUUUUCAUACUCUAACAUCAUGCCUCAGCUUUUUGCAUUAAACUUUUACAUUUACAAGACUGGUGGUCAUCCUACUGAUAGAUCUCUGAUAGAUUGGAACAAUGUAAUAUUAAAGCAUGAAUAUUUAGUUGCUUAAUAACCCAAGAUUUUAGAAAACCCAGCACACCCAGCACACCCCAUGGAAAGAAUGCAGACACUGCACUGACGAGAUGUCCAAGGAACUGGUUUAGAAACGUGCCAGCCUGCGCUGCAUUGGCUUUCCAUCUGAAGUUAUUUCACAAAACAAUGAUUCCCUCUUUGUUUUUAUUUUUAUUUUAUUUGUUUGGGGGCACAAUCCG